CCUACGGGGGGCAGCAGUGAGGAAUAUUGGUCAAUGGGCGCGAGCCUGAACCAGCCAAGUAGCGUGAAGGAUGACUGCCCUACGGGUUGUAAACCUCUUUUAUAAACGAAUAAAGUGAGGCACGUGAGCCUUUUUGUAUGUACUUUAUGAAUAAGGAACGGCUAACUCCGUGCCAGCAGCCGCGGUAAUACGGAGGAUCCGAGCGUUAUCCGGAUUUAAUGGGUUUAAAGGGAGCGUAGAUGGGUUGUUAAGUCAGUUGUGAAAGUUUGCGGCUCAAACGUAAAAUUGCAAUUGAUACUGGCAGCCUUGAGUACGGUUGAGGUAGGCGGAAUUCGUGGUGUAGCGGUGAAAUGCUUAGAUAUCACGAAGAACUCCGAUUGCGAAGGCAGCCUACUAGACUGCCACUGACAUUGAUGCUCGAAAGUGUGGGUAUCAAACAGGAUUAGAUACCCUAGUAGUC
rnacentral:rRNA from 1 species